GUAGCCCUGAAAAUGGAUGGCGCUUAAGCGAAUAACCUAUACAUGGCUAAUGUUACUAUUUGUUUGUAGCAUUAAGUAGGAAUGCGUGAUGAAUGUUGCGAAGUAUAAUGUGUGAACAUGUAUGGAACGUUCAUUAGUGCAGAUCUUGGUGGAAGUAGCAAAUAUUCAAAUGAGAUCUUUGAAGACUGAAGUGGAGAAAGGUUCCAUAGGAAUAGUGAUUAUCUAUGGGUUAGUCGAUCCUAAGAGAUAGGUGAAAUCCGUUGAAAGGUUUUUUCUUGAUUGAAAAACGCUUAUCGAAAGGGAAUCAGGUUAAUAUUCCUGAACGAAUCAGUUGGGUAAACGGUAACGUGUA
rnacentral:rRNA from 1 species